rnacentral:rRNA from 1 species
UACGGGGGGGGUAAGCGUUGCUCGGAAUCACUGGGCGUAAAGGGUGCGUAGGCGGGUCUUUAAGUCAGGGGUGAAAUCCUGGAGCUCAACCCCAGAACUGCCUUUGAUACUGAAGAUCUUGAGUCCGGGAGAGGUAAGUGGAACUGCGAGUGUAGAGGUGAAAUUCGUAGAUAUUCGCAAGAACACCAGUGGCGAAGGCGGCUCACUGGCCCGGUACUGACGCUGAGGCACGAAAGCGUGGGGAGCAAACAGG